rnacentral:sRNA from 1 species
GGGAAGGAUGAGAAGCUUCGACUAAGGUUCGAUUCGAGCGAAAGCGAGAAAGCGUUGCCAACGGCAACGACCCGAAGGGCGAAGCGCGCAGCGCUGAGUAAUCCUUCCCCCGUCAUCC